rnacentral:rRNA from 1 species
AACGAACGCUGGCGGCAGGCUUAACACAUGCAAGUCGAACGCCCCGCAAGGGGAGUGGCAGACGGGUGAGUAACGCGUGGGAAUCUACCUUUUGCUACGGGAUAGCUCCGGGAAACCGGAAUUAAUACCGUAUGUGCCCUUCGGGGGAAAGAUUUAUCGGCAAAGGAUGAGCCCGCAUUGGAUUAGCUAGUUGGUGGGGUAAAGGCCUACCAAGGCGACGAUCCAUAGCUGGUCUGAGAGGAUGAUCAGCCACAUUGGGACUGAGACACGGCCCAAACUCCUACGGGGGGCAGCAGUGGGGAAGAUUGGACCAUGGGCGCAGGCCUGAGCCAGCCAUGCCGCGUGAGUGAUGAAGGGCUUAGGAUUGUAAAGCUCUUUCACCGGGGACGAUAAUGACGGUACCCGGAGAAGAAGCCCCGGCUAACUGCGUGCCAGCCGCCGCGGUAA